UACGGAGGGGGCUAGCGUUGUUCGGAAUUACUGGGCGUAAAGCGCACGUAGGCGGACUGUUAAGUCGGGGGUGAAAUCCUGGGGCUCAACCUCAGAAUUGCCUCCGAUACUGGCAGUCUCGAGUGCGGGAGAGGUGAGUGGAAUUCCCAGUGUAGAGGUGAAAUUCGUAGAUAUUGGGAAGAACACCAGUGGGCGAAAGGCGGCUCACUGGCCCGUAACUGACGCUGAGGUGACGAAAGCGUGGGGAGCAAACAGG
rnacentral:rRNA from 1 species